rnacentral:rRNA from 1 species
AUUGAACGCUGGCGGCAGGCCUAACACAUGCAAGUCGAACGAGUGGCGGACGGGUGAGUAAUGUCUGGGAAACUGCCUGAUGGAGGGGGAUAACUACUGGAAACGGUAGCUAAUACCGCCUACCAUCGGAUGUGCCCAGAUGGGAUUAGCGAGUAGGUGGGGUAAAGGCUCACCUAGGCGACGAUCCCUAGCUGGUCUGAGAGGAUGACGAGCCACAUUGGGAAUGAGCACCGGCCCAGACUCCUACGGGAGGAGGAAUGGGGGAAUAUGGCACAAGGGGCGAAAGCCUGAGGAAGCAAUGCGGGGUGUAGGAAGAAGGCCUUCGGGUUGUAAAGUACUUUCAGCGGGGAGGCGUUACCCGCAGAAGAAGCAACGGCUAACUCCGUGCCAGCCGCCGCGGUAAUUC